UACAUGUUCAAGUACGACAGUGUUCACGGUCAAUGGAAACACAAUGAACUCAAGAUCAAGGAUGAGAAGACCCUUCUCUUCGGUGAGAAGCCAGUCACUGUUUUCGGCAUCAGGUA
rnacentral:sRNA from 1 species